GGUGGCAAGCUAAUGCCGAAAAGGCAAAAGCAAAUAGGAAUACAGAGCCAGGUGGCCCGAGCACCGGAACCGCUCGGCAUACGUCAGGAUCCAGAUCUAUUGUUGAGCAUACCAUUGAUCUGGAACGUGAGCUUGCCCGACAGCCUACAUGUAUGGAGAUUUUUCUGAAGACCCACAAGAAGAAGGAUGGGUCAUUUGUUGAUUCUCGAUCUCAAACUCUACAUCAAGAAAUGACAGAACGGGUGGCUCAGGCAUCUCAGCCAUCAGCAGAGGGUGGAGAGUCACAGUCUUUAUCCACCGACGAUCUAAAUGAGAUAUAUUAUGAUGUUGUCGGUGGAAGGACAAAAAACUCCACCCUCUACGGCCU